rnacentral:misc_RNA from 1 species
GAUGAAGAACGCAGCGAACGUGCGAAACGUAAUGUGAAUUGCAGAAUUCAGUGAAUCAUCGAAUCUUUGAACGCAUCUUGCGCUCCUUGGUAUUCCGAGGAGCAUGCCUGUUUGAGUGUCGUGAAUACUCUCAACUUCAACCCUUUUUUCGGAAAGGGAGGAAGGUUGGACUUGGGUGUUUGUUGAAGUGCGAGCUUCGACUCAUCCUAAAUGCAUUAGCGAUCUGCCUCGAUCACACACAAUGUGAUAAUUAAAACUAAAGCAUUGUUUAAUGAUCAAGUCGAGACUGCUUCUAACUGUCGCAAGACAAUAACGUGCAUACAUUUGUGCAUGUCAUUUGACCUCAAAUCAGGUAGGACUACCCGCUGAACUUAAGCAUAUCAAUAAGCGAGGA